CUCAAAUAGGUAGGACUACCCGCUGAACUUAAGCAUAUCAAUAAGCGGAGGAAAAGAAACUAACAAGGAUUCCCCUAGUAACGGCGAGUGAAGAGGGAAAAGCCCAAGUUUGAAAGCUGGCACCUUCGGUGUCCGCAUUGUAAACUCGAGAAGUGUUAUCCGCGCCGGACCAGACUUUAAAUCCUUUGGAAUAAGGUACCUUAGAGGGUGAUAGUCCCUUUCAUAGUCUGGAACCCCCGGGGCUUUGUGAUGCGCUCUCCAAGAGUCGAGUUGUUUGGGAAUGCAGCUCAAAAUGGGUGGUAAAUGCCAUCUAAGGCUAAAUAAAGAGGAGAGACCGAUAGCGAACAAGUACCGUGAGGGAAAGAUGAAAAGAACUUUGGAAAGAGAGUUAAACAGUACGUGAAAUUGCCGGAAGGGAAGGGUAGGAAGUCAGAUAUGUCUUGAUUGAUUCAACUUGGCCUUUCGAGGUUGGGUGUAUUUCGAUUACGGACAGGCCAGCAUCGAUUUUAGCUGCCGGAUAUUGGUAGAAGGAAUGUGGCAUCUUUUUCGGAAGGUGUGUUAUAGCCUUUUACUUGGUACGGCGGCCGGGAUCGAGGAACGCAGUGCACCCUUUUGGGCGGGCCUUCGGGCACCUUUGCACAUAGGAUGUUGGCUUAAUGGCUUUCUGCCACCCGUCUUGAAACACGGACCA
rnacentral:rRNA from 1 species